UAGAGUUUGAUCCUGGCUCAGAAUGAACGCUGGCGGCGUGCUUAACACAUGCAAGUCGUACGAGAACAUCCUAGCUUGCUAGGGUAAGUAAAGUGGCGCACGGGUGAGUAACGCGUGGGUAAUCUACCUUCGAAUUGGGGAUAACGUUGCGAAAGUGACGCUAAUACCGAAUAAUAUCCAUUAAUCUUCGGGUUUUUGGAUCAAGGGUGGCCUCUACAUGUAAGCUAUUGUUUGAAGAUGAGCCCGCGUACCAUUAGCUUGUUGGUGGGGUAAUGGCCUACCAAGGCAGCGAUGGUUAGCUGGUCUGAGAGGAUGAUCAGCCACACUGGAACUGACACACGGUCCAGACUCCUACGGGAGGCAGCAGUGAGGAAUUUUGCGCAAUGGGGGAAACCCUGACGCAGCAACGCCGCGUGAGUGAUGAAGGCUUUCGGGUCGUAAAGCUCUGUCAAGUGGGAAGAACCUGCUAUAUGAUAAUACCAUAUUGCACUGACGGUACCACUGAAGGAAGCACCGGCUAACUCCGUGCCAGCAGCCGCGGUAAUACGGGGGGUGCAAGCGUUAUUCGGAAUCAUUGGGCGUAAAGGGCACGUAGGCGGCCUGGUAAGUCAGAUGUGAAAGCCCGGGGCUUAACCCCGGAAGUGCAUUUGAUACUGUCAGGCUUGAGUAUGGGAGAGGGAAGUGGAA
rnacentral:rRNA from 1 species